rnacentral:rRNA from 1 species
GAUAACUGGCUUAUGGCAGCCAAGCGUUCAUAGCGACGUUGCUUUUUGAUCCUUCGAUGUCGGCUCUUCCUAUCAUUGUGAAGCAGAAUUCACCAAGUGUUGGAUUGUUCACCUACCAAUAGGGAACGUGAGCUGAGUUUAGACCGUUGUAAGUGGAC